GUUUUCGGACCUAGAGACCGGCGCACGGGUGCGUAACGCGUAUGCAGUCUACCUUUUACAGAGGGAUAGCCCAGAGAAAUUUGGAUUAAUACCUCAUAGUAUAGUACAACCGCAUGGUUGAACUAUUAAAGUCACAACGGUAAAAGAUGAGCAUGCGUCCCAUUAGCUUGUUGGUAAGGUAACGGCUUACCAAGGCAACGAUGGGUAGGGGUCCUGAGAGGGAGAUCCCCACACUGGUACUGAGACACGGACCAGACUCCUACGGGAGGCAGCAGUGAGGAAUAUUGGUCAAUGGGCGCAAGCCUGAACCAGCCAUGCCGCGUGCAGGAUGAAGCAUCUAUGGUGUGUAAACUGCUUUUGUACGAGAAGAAACACUCCUUCGUGAAGGAGCUUGACGGUAUCGUAAGAAUAAGGACCGGCUAACUCCGUGCCAGCAGCCGCGGUAAUACGGAGGGUCCAAGCGUUAUCCGGAAUCAUUGGGUUUAAAGGGUCCGUAGGCGGUUUUGUAAGUCAGUGGUGAAAGCCCAUCGCUCAACGGUGGAACGGCCAUUGAUACUGCAAGACUUGAAUUAUUGGGAAGUAACUAGAAUAUGUAGUGUAGCGGUGAAAUGCUUAGAGAUUACAUGGAAUACCAAUUGCGAAGGCAGGUUACUACCAAUAUAUUGACGCUGAUGGACGAAAGCGUGGGGAGCGAACAGGAUUAGAUACCCUGGUAG
rnacentral:rRNA from 1 species